rnacentral:lncRNA from 1 species
AUGUGGAUAUCAUGUCAUAAUUUACAAUGUAUUUUUCUCAUGGAGGAACAGAAGAGUUGGAAGUGCAGAAGAAGAGGAGUGCAGUCCUCUCAUCAGGGAAAGGAGCCCGCAUGCUUUUGCCGAUGCUUCAGAUGGAAAGCCCAGCAGCUCUGCCGGGAUGCCGCGUGCCACAUUCCCUGGAGUAGGGGUUCUCAUGCAGGCUCACGACAUCCUAGCCGGGUGACAUCAGGCAAGUUACUUGGCCUCUUUGGGCCUCGGUUUCCACAUGUGUAAAAUGGGAGUAAUAGUAGGUACCAUGGAACUGUAGCAGGAACUUAAUGGGUGAAUAUGUGUCAGCUGUCUCACGUGUCCUCGUAUUGCAUGUCAUUGUCAUCAUCAGCACUUCUAAAGGAAGGGGAGAGGCCUUCUAGGUUGAGGGCCACAGGGGAGGUAGGCCAGGGAGGGGCCCAAGUCAGAGGGCAGAGUCACCCGAGCAAGCUCCUCUACAGAAAAUAACAGACAAAUCUAGUCUGAAUGACUCGCCUUUUGAGUGCCAUCUCUGUGCCAACCGUGGCAGAGGACACAUCAUAAACCUUCUCUUUAAUCCUGACAACAGCCCUGCAUGGCAGACGUGACCAUCCCCAUUUCAUAGAUAGAGAAACUGAGGCUCAGGCGGCCUGGCACCUUGCCGAGGUCACCCUCCAGUCAGUGGAGCGGGGGGAACCGGACCCAAGGUCCUACUCCUUCUACAUGGCACCAUCUCGUCCUCCAGUUCCUAAGUCAGCACCAGCCCUCCCCGGUCACUCACCGGUCCUAGCGGGCCUGGCUCCGGGCACACACGACUUUGCACAGGCAAAAAUAAUUUGCGGUUAAUCAGUGUCUUUGCUUGGAAAGAGUCUUAAAUUUGUUCUACACAGUACACGUAUGAAUCGACGCACCCAUAAAUGAAGUGUACCCUCUGGAACCCCAG